UACGUAGGGGCAAGCGUUGUCCGGAAUCAUUGGGCGUAAAGCGCGUGUAGGCGGCCCGAUAAGUCCGCUGUGAAAGUCCAGGGCUCAACCCUGGGAUGCCGGUGGAUACUGUCGGGCUCGAGUCCGGAAGAGGCGAGUGGAAUUCCUGGUGUAGCGGUGAAAUGCGCAGAUAUCAGGAGGAACACCAAUGGCGAAGGCAGCUCGCUGGGACGUGACUGACGCUGAGACGCGAAAGCGUGGGGAGCAAACAGG
rnacentral:rRNA from 1 species